rnacentral:rRNA from 1 species
GAUGAACGCUGGCGGCGUGCCUAAUACAUGUAAGUCGAGCGAACAGACGAGGAGCUUGCUCCUCUGACGUUAGCGGCGGACGGGUGAGUAACACGUGGAUAACCUACCUAUAAGACUGGGAUAACUUCGGGAAACCGGAGCUAAUACCGGAUAAUAUAUUGAACCGCAUGGUUCAAUAGUGAAAGACGGUUUUGCUGUCACUUAUAGAUGGAUCCGCGCCGCAUUAGCUAGUUGGUAAGGUAACGGCUUACCAAGGCAACGAUGCGUAGCCGACCUGAGAGGGUGAUCGGCCACACUGGAACUGAGACACGGUCCAGACUCCUACGGGAGGCAGCAGUAGGGAAUCUUCCGCAAUGGGCGAAAGCCUGACGGAGCAACGCCGCGUGAGUGAUGAAGGUCUUCGGAUCGUAAAACUCUGUUAUUAGGGAAGAACAAAUGUGUAAGUAACUAUGCACGUCUUGACGGUACCGAAGCAGAAAGCCACGGCUAACUACGU